AACGAACGCUGGCGGCGCGCCUAAUACAUGCAAGUCGAGCGAGAAGACGUAGCAAUACGUUUGUAAAGCGGCGAACGGGUGAGGAAUACAUGGGUAACCUACCCUCGAGUGGGGAAUAACUAGCCGAAAGGUUAGCUAAUACCGCGUACGCUCCUUGGACUUCGGUUCAGGGAGGAAAGCGAUACCGUGGGUAUCGCGCUCUUGGAUGGGCUCAUGUCCUAUCAGCUUGUUGGUGAGGUAACGGCUCACCAAGGCUUCGACGGGUAGCUGGUCUGAGAGGACGAUCAGCCACACUGGCACUGCGACACGGGCCAGAUUCCUACGGGAGGCAGCAGUAAGGAAUAUUGCGCAAUGGGCGAAAGCCUGACGCAGCGACGCCGCGUGGGGGAUGAAGGUCUUCGGAUUGUAAACCCC
rnacentral:rRNA from 1 species